CACCAGGUUGAUUCUGCCUGACGUAGACGCUAUUCUCUAGAUUAACCCAUGCAUGUUUUUGACAUUUGAAAAAUGGACUGCUCAGUAAUACUCACUUUAUUUUAUGUAAAUUUUUGAUUAAUUAACUACGUUAAAGUGUAGAUAAGAUGUUUACAGUAAGAGUGAGACCUAUCAGCUAGUUGUUAAGGUAAUGGCUUAACAAGGCUGUGACGGGUAACGGUAUUACUUUGUAAUAUUCCGGAGAAGGAGCCUGAGAGACGGCUACUAAGUCUAAGGAUUGCAGCAGGGGCGAAACUUGACCUAUGGAUUUUAUCUGAGGCAGUUAUGGGAAGUAAUAUUAUAUUGUUUCAUAUUUUAAAAGUAUAUGAGGUGAUUAAUUGGAGGGCAAAUCAAGUGCCAGCAGCCGCGGUAAUACUUGUUCCAAGAGUGUGUAUGAUGAUUGAUGCAGUUAAAAAGUCCGUAGUUUAUUUUUUUAAGAAGCAAUAUGAGGUGUACUGUAUAGUUGGGAGAAAGAUGAAAUGUGACGACCCUGACUGGACGAACAGAAGCGAAAGCU
rnacentral:rRNA from 1 species